rnacentral:rRNA from 1 species
UACGUAGGGUGCAAGCGUUAAUCGGAAUUACUGGGCGUAAAGCGUGCGCAGGCGGCUUUGCAAGACAGAUGUGAAAUCCCCGGGCUCAACCUGGGAACUGCAUUUGUGACUGCAUGGCUAGAGUACGGUAGAGGGGGAUGGAAUUCCGCGUGUAGCAGUGAAAUGCGUAGAUAUGCGGAGGAACACCGAUGGCGAAGGCAAUCCCCUGGACCUGUACUGACGCUCAGGCACGAAAGCGUGGGGAGCAAACAGG